ensembl:lncRNA
AAAAAAGAUAUAAUUCUCACAUAUGAUGAAGGACUGGAAGGAAAAGACAGAGAGCAAAAAGUAAAAUGGCAGAUGGACAUCUUAGGAUGAACUGAAGAGACUCCUGACCAACUGUGAGGUCUCAAGCAGGCAGAGGGAAAGAUAUCAUGUCCUGUAUUGUUUCAUUUUUUUCAUCAGUCACAGCAAAUACGGAGCACACAAACCAAUCCAUUGGAACGCAAAAUUAUAACGUACAGAUUUAUGCAAGAGGGAUGACUGCAAAGUGCGUUUCAUGAGCAGUGCUCUGAACAAACAUGUUUUUCCAGAAUCGACUAAUAAGAUUACUAAUUGCAUUUCAUCAACAGAAUUGUUUAUCAGGAUCUGUGUCUUGAUUAAGAUUCUGUUGUGGCAAGUGCCUCUAUCAAUCACAGGGAGAUCAAGUCCUUGCCUGAAGAUGUGCAUAUAA